ensembl:snRNA U6 U6 spliceosomal RNA
GUACUCAAUUCAGCAACAUUCUCUAAAAUUGAAACAAUACAGAAAAGAUUAGCAUGAUCCCUAGGCAAAGAUGACCUGCAUUCCAUAUUUUUAAUUUUUACAUAUUUUU